rnacentral:rRNA from 1 species
GACGAACGCUGGCGGCGUGCUUAACACAUGCAAGUCGAGCGGAAAGGCCCUGCUUUUGUGGGGUGCUCGAGUGGCGAACGGGUGAGUAACACGUGAGUAACCUGCCCUUGACUUUGGGAUAACUUCAGGAAACUGGGGCUAAUACCGGAUAGGAGCUCCUGCUGCAUGGUGGGGGGUGGAAAGUUUCGGCGGUUGGGGAUGGACUCGCGGCUUAUCAGCUUGUUGGUGGGGUAGUGGCUUACCAAGGCUUUGACGGGUAGCCGGCCUGAGAGGGUGACCGGCCACAUUGGGACUGAGAUACGGCCCAGACUCCUACGGGAGGCAGCAGUGGGGAAUAUUGCACAAUGGGCGGAAGCCUGAUGCAGCAACGCCGCGUGCGGGAUGACGGCCUUCGGGUUGUAAACCGCUUUCGCCUGUGACGAAGCGUGAGUGACGGUAAUGGGUAAAGAAGCACCGGCUAACUACGUG